GGAAGGGCUGAACAAUUAAGAGAUAAUAACCCUUGGAUUCCAUCUCGAAUGAAUGAACACAGAAAACAGAGAAACCUCACGCUUAGAAAGUAAAGGUGAAGUCCAUGAGGGUAUUUGCUUUGAAUGUAGGAAAUUGUUGUAAUCUCAGUAAACAACUUUAUUAUCAUUUUCUGCUGAUUUAUUUCAGCGUCUAAAUACCAUAUCUUUAAACUGAAUGAGCAAUAGCCAUCUUCCUAUAUGUAUUGAGAUAUUUUUUGACGAUAUCCUCAAAUGAAAUUCCUGAAUUUUCAACAAUCAAUCUCAUGAUCUCAAGGGACCCAUAUGAUACGCCGUGCAUAAUAUACUGACCAGUGGAUUGACUAAGAACUAGCUGAGCCGUUGCAUCUAUAGAGAGCGAUAGUCCAUAUUUGUAUUCUACGUCUUUUCCGGUUGUCACUGAUUUACCAAAAAGUACAGGUGCAAAUUUAAAGCCAUCUUAAAGUGUGUUCAUAAUUGCAAUGUCGAUUACCUCAGCAUCCAACUCAACCCAUGAUUGAUCAAGUAUAAAGUGAUCAAUUUGAACUCCACCAAGUCGUACAAUAGAAUUAUAAGCCUUUUCAGUUAAAAGAAUGUGUAAAAUUGCAGAAAUCAAAUGACAUUGACCCUGGUAAUCAUGCUCUGAAUGAAAUCAAAAGCUCCUCUAAAAAUGUACUUAAUCUCUUUCUCACACUCAAAAUUUUCAAUACCUAGAGCCCAGUUUGUAUGCCAAUUCAUACAGCAUUUCUUAUACUUUUUCUCACUUCCACAUAAACAAAGGUCGUUUCUAUUUAACUUCAUCUAAUCUCUCCUUCACUUUGAAUACUUAACUAUAGUUAUUAUAAUCAAUAGUAAGAUCCGUUUAAAUUGUGUAAAAGCUCAAUACCCCCUUAGAAUUCUCAUAAGGGGUAUUGAAAUAAUAUUUUAUUAUUUAGGAGUACACCAUGUAAGUUUUGUGAAACCUAAUCCAAAAUGUGUUCUAUGAAUAUAAUAUCCAUUAUUAUUCCAAUUACAAAGUUCCCCAACAUCAUAAAAGCGCCCAUAUAGUACCAAUACCUGUUGAAUCCUGCAGUACCCUCACCAGCUGCUAAAACUUUUUGUAUUUUCGAAGCCUCAUCAGCAGAAAUAGAAAUAACUUGACCAUACCACUCUGUACUUACAGAAAACAUAGACAUAAUAAUCAUUUCUUCAGGGUUUAAAAUUUCCCCUUGGAUAUCUUUCUAUAAUUCUUCGUUUACCUGAAUGUCUUCAAUAUCUCCUGAAGUUGUUAAAUCUCCCUUUUUUAUUGCGUUAUUUAACACUAUUAAAUUUUCAUUAAAAACGUCAAAAGCUUCCUGAGCGUUGGCAUCUACAUGAUUAUCAUAAAAGUUUUUAACUUGACCAUUUAAAAAGAGUGAUUUUCCUCUAAGUCUGAUUUGAAAAUUCCGAGAGAUUAUUCUAAAUUUUAACUAGAUAUUCCAAGGAAUUCUAUAACCUUAUAAUUUUCAAGGUCAACAAUGCUAUUAUUGAUUGUUUUUGCAGAGACUAGGGAUGGUGUAGUGUUAGCUGAGUUUAAAGUUAGUCCUAAAACUGAUGCUAAAAUUACUUUUUUCAUAUCAUUGGCUCCUUUUAGAUGAGAUUGUCUUUUUGAGCAUAAAAUUCACUUAUUCAUUUUCUAGAGAGAUUCUUACAUAUAAGGUUAGCUACUAAGGGAUCUCUCUUUGUAGUUGUUAUUUAGUGCUCUGUAAUUUAAAGGUAUAAUAUUCUGGGGUUUAUUGACUUAUUUCGUGAAGGACAACAGUAAUUCGACAAAAAUAGUUCUAAAUGUGACCAUUGAUUCUUAUAAUAUAAAGAUAACUUUCUAAAAAAGGAGAGGAAACCUUGUGGAUUGAUGGUGUUUUUUCUGGUGGUGGUUUAAAGGGGUUUGCACUAGUUGGCGCGUAUCAAGUGUUAGAAGCUGAAAAUUUCCGCUUUAAACGGGUAGCUGGAACGAGUGCUGGGGCUAUUCUAGCUGCUUUUAUUGCUGCAGGUUAUAGCGGAAAAGAAAUUCAAACAAUGUUAGAAGAAUUGGAUGUACCUUCAUUAUUAGAUUCAAGGAAAACCAUUUUAUCAUUCCCGUUUAUGAAAUGGGUUAAUGUAUAUAACCAUUUAGGUUUAUAUAAAGGAAAAGCUCUAGAAAAAUGGUUUUUUCAAAAAUUAGCUGCAAAAGGUGUUUAUACAUUUGGAGAUUUACCGAGGGAUUCUUUAAAAUUAGUUGCUUCUGACUUAACAAAUGGAAGAAUGAUUGUUUUGCCCGAUGAUUUACACAGAUAUCAUAUUGAUGCAAAUAACUUCUCAGUUGCAUGUGCUUUACGAAUGAGCUGUGGCAUUCCCUUUUUUUUUGAACCUGUUACCUUAAAAACAGGCAAAGGAGAAUCCAUAAUUGUAGAUGGCGGUGUUUUGAGUAAUUUUCCGUUAUGGAUAUUUGACGAUAAAGAGGGAAGGAAAGUAAGACCAAUUCUAGGACUUAAAUUGAGUAGACGUAGAGAAGAACAAUGUCCACACGAAAUAAAAAAUGGCUUGAAUUUAUUUGAAGCCUUAUUCUCGACUAUGAAAGACGCUCAUGAUGAGAGGUAUAUAUCAAGAAGACAUGAAAGAGAUAUUAUUUUCAUUCCUGUCGAAGAUUAUAGUGCAACACAAUUUGAUUUAGAUGAGGAGACUAAGGAAACUCUUUUAGAAAUUGGACGGAAUCGUACAAUUCAAUUUUUAAGAACGUGGCCAAGGUUCAGAUUAUAAAAUUUGAAAAAGAAUUAUUAAAAACUAUUGACGUUCUUUAUAACCAAUGUUAUUAUAUAAAAGUUGCUGCUGAAACACGCAACUAGAAAAAUAUAAAAUAAAAUAACUGUUUGACAUUAUCAUAUAAACAUGUUAUUAUAUAAAAGUUAACUCUU
rnacentral:rRNA from 1 species